rnacentral:rRNA from 1 species
GCUGGCGGCGUGCUUAACACAUGCAAGUCGAACGAGAAAAUUCCCUUCGGGGAAUGAGUAAAGUGGCGCACGGGUCAGUAACCCGUGGAUAACCUACCUCCGGGUGGGGCACAACCCGUCGAAAGAUGGGCUAAUCCCUCAUAAGACCACGAGAUCCUCGGAUCAUGAGGUUAAAGGUGGCCUCUACCUGUAAGCUAUCGCCUGGAGAUGGAUCCGCGCACCAUUAGCUUGUUGGUGAGGUAACGGCUCACCAAGGCCGAGAUGGUUAGCUGGUCUGAGAGGACGACCAGCGACACUGGAACUGAGACACGGUCCAGACUCCUACGGGAGGCAGCAGUGGGGAAUAUUGGACAAUGGGCGCAAGCCUGAUCCAGCAACGCCGCGUGAGUGGUGAAGGCCCUCGGGUUGUAAAGCUCUGACAGAGGGAACGAAUCAAGGUGACCUAACACGUCACCGGAUGACGGUACUCUCAAAGGAAGCACCGGCUAACUCUGUG